rnacentral:rRNA from 1 species
GACGAACGCUGGCGGCGUGCUUAACACAUGCAAGUCGAGCGGUAAGGCCCUUUCGGGGGUACACGAGCGGCGAACGGGUGAGUAACACGUGGGUAACCUGCCCCACACACUGGGAUAAGCCUGGGAAACUGGGUCUAAUACCGGAUAUGACCUGUCCCUGCAUGGGGGUGGGUGGAAAGCUCCGGCGGUGUGGGAUGGGCCCGCGGCCUAUCAGCUUGUUGGUGGGGUAGUGGCCUACCAAGGCGACGACGGGUAGCCGGCCUGAGAGGGUGUCCGG